ensembl:lncRNA
AUUAAUUAAAUAAGAACUCUUCUGCUUUCUCUAUCUUCUUAUCAUCUAUGCAUGCAGAAUAAUUUUCUGGAAAGCAAAGAGCUACGGUACCACAUACCAGAAAAACAGCUUUCUCUUUUGAAGGAAAGCACAGUGAUACUGCUGAUGAAGCACUGAAGGAAUAUUUCAGGAAAAGUACCGUUGGAUUUACUGCAUGGUAACGCACAUCUGAUUUUCAUAUGAAAUACAAAAUAAACCAAAGCUCUGUUCGUUCAGCAAAGACAACAGGAAAGCAGCGGAGCAGCAGGGGCUCAGGGAUGCUACGAUCCCAAAGCUGGGGCAUGGAGGGCUGGCCCAUCUCUCUGCUUAGCACCAACACAGCAUGUCUUUAUUCCUGCACUACAACAGAUCAGCUAGCGUUUUCUGUGAAAAAAAAACAACAUACCUUGCCAUGCUCACAGAGCUGGGAGGAGAUUGCUUUCCAUUACAUUUAGUAAGAUACCAUCUGAGCACCGAAAAUGAGAAGUAUAUAAACUUACCACUGCAUUAUCAGGAAAAGCAUCAGAAAUCAAGCUUAGGUGUUGCUGAGCAGUCAGCACCUCAGCUCCUUCCUGGCACAAAAUCCAUGCAGCAUGCAGCAGGUACCAGAAGCACCUCUCCUGUGCUAGUCCUACCCGUAUGCUCACAGAUGUCUUCUGAAUCUGCCACCAACAAAAGAAACCACAAUAAGACUGUUUCCCUGAUUCUUCAUAACUGAGUCAGUAGGUCAACAAUUCCUUCGGUUUAGGAGCCAAACCAAUUCCCUUAAACACCCCCCCCUUUUUUUUUUUUCUUCCCUGAUGGAGAAGCCAACUGUCUGCUGCCAGUGGCAGCUCAGCUGCUCACAGAACAGAACCAAACUGCUCCAACAAACCAGCUUGCCCUGGCGCAGACGUUCAUCCUGACACAGCUCCAUUUUGUCUCUCACGUCUGGGAGAAGCCACGAGCAAUUACUUACGUUUUCAGAUCGAGCCACAGGCAGGGAAGUGCCCCGCGUGCACCUUGCGUGCUGCCGCCAGCUCCUGCAGCCCACGUCCUCGCUGUCCAUGGCACCACGCGGCGGCACGAGGAAGGGAGCGUCACCGAACGCCAGACCUGCUCCCGCUCCAUCCUCCUCCACACCAACGCAGAAUAUCCUGCCUGUGCCUCUCAUGCGCUCUGCUCGAACAAAGAGAAAGCUCGGAAGCUGCUCUCCUUCUUCCCGAUCCAUGACUCAAAUGUCUGGUUGAAAUUGGUUUCGUAAUAACCCUUUAGUACCACCUACUCACAUCACCAAGUGCUUCUUUCAGCAAACGCGCAGGAAAUCACCAAUGAGUGCCAAUGGAGCUACUAUUCCAAGAACUCGCUCUUUCGGUUAUUCCUCCAUCAUUUGGAAACCAAGACACUUUUACUUUCCCUAUCACACCGGGUAUUUUUUAUAGAAGAGCCUUUAACUGCGAUCCCGUAAAAUACUUGGUUGAUAAAUCACCAGCUGAAAACUCGCCCACUGUAAAGAAAAGAAUUUCACAACACUCAUUCCAGAAAAUACAGUAACUCCUUUCUGGAAAUAAUUCACCGGACAAAAAUCAAAAGGGCAGAAUUAAUGUUUGGAGACCGUUUGCAUCCUGCACAGCAGACAAAGACGGUGCAGCAAGCCACGUGCCUCUGUGACCAUCACCAGCAGACCCCUGAAUCACCCAACCACACGAUGAGUCG